UUUCUCUUCCUCUUCUUAUUUGAUUUCAUGAAUUUGAUUAGGAUUUCCUUCUAGUGAUUCUAGCGUUCUGUAACCUCUGUUGUGGAUUUUGAGAUUUGGCAACAUGCAAUUCAUGGCUUCAGAAAGAGAAUAUCAAUAAGUUCAUAUUAUAGACUCUGGUUUACAUUCAUUUAUUUGGUUUGUUGCUGGUUGAACACAAAUUGUUUGAUAAAUUUUGAUUUAUUGCUCGUUGAACACAAACUGUUUGAUAAAUGUUCUUGUAAGUGAUUAUUUGUUGAUAAAUCUAUUUAGUGUUAUUUUAUAUGAAUUGGGUAAGGGUAUGACUUCAAGAUGGCAUUUACCUCAUGAGUUUGUCGCAAAGUUACAAUGUGUUUGUCAUGUUUGGUAAAUUUGAGAAACUUUUCAUUCAUGUUGAUUUUCUUGAUUUUUCCUCACGGAAGUUGCUGGUAUAAUGCUCAAUCUAUGAAUUAUCCUUUCUUAUAUGCACUAGAGAUUUUUAGUAAUGGUUCUGUUUUUAUCUAUGAUUGUUUCAUUUCAUAUCUUGUAGGCAUUUCUUGUUAUGUUUUUAUGGAAUAGUUGGCAAAAGUCAUUUAUAGAAAGAAACAAAAGUCACGAGUCCAUGACUCAUAGUAUAAGUGAAUCCACUUACAGGCACAUUGUUCAUUCUUUAAAGUCAUUAUACUUUUUUGUCUUCAUCGCCAUGAUACUGAAUUAGCUUAUACCUUAAUGUAAGAACCGCUGAAAACCCUUGUAUGCUAAAUGAGUGUUUUGGGAGUUGAUAGAUUGCUUUCAUAUGUAAAUUUGGUUGACAGUAUUGUGAGGUAAGAACUAGUUUUCUGCUGUUAGGCUGAGUCUGUUUAUGUUCUGUGGUUUUGCGGUGGCUGUCCUGUUUCAGCCCUGGUACUUUUCACAUGCUUUUAUGCUGCUGCUAUGGGGAUUCGUAUCACUGAUUUUUUACUUCAGCUGCAGUUUUCUUUGGAGCUUGGUGUGAGCUUCCAGUGACUGCGAUUCAUUUGUUUUGUUUCAAGCUGGGUAUGGAGUUUUUGAUUGUGUCCUUUCUCUUGUUUCGUUGCUCCCUGUUGUUGUUUUGCUAAUUAGUUUUGGCAUGGAUUAUAAAUGGCAUAUGGCAUAUUACUUCAAAAAGGUAAGAUAUUCUAACUCAAUUCUUUUAUCUGCAUAUUUUAUCACUCUUGGUUACAAAUUAACUUGUUUUCUCUCUUCCACUUUCCUUGAAACAUCCAUCUUUAAUGCCACAAUCUAGCACCGUCUAUGACUGGCCAAACUCAUUUAAAUUACCUUCAGGAUACUCUACUUUUCUGGUUCUUACAUGAACAAGUUUCAACCUUUGAAUGAUCCAUAAGUAAACAAAACGCUGCAAUUCCUUGGAGGGGCAGACCUUAGUCUCUCUUAUGAUAGGAAAAGUUGUGUACUGCCAAUACUUUACGGGCAUUUUUAAUCUCAUACCAGAAUGAGGCUAUGGUUCAUUUUGACCCGAAAAUUGUACAUGCACCUCCAACAACCUGUUAAAGGGCAUCGAUACAUAUACUCCUCUCCUAGUCUCAAUAAACAUGAAAGGUUCAAGUAAUGUUUACUGCAGUUGAUUCAGUUCAUGCUUUGGGCCAUAGUGAGGUUAUUGGCAAGGAGGAAAAAUAGAAAGCCGUUGAUAAGACUUUGCAAAUUCUAGGUUCUAAAGCUAGUGAAUUGCUUUCUUCUAGUAAGCUUGUCCAUGUCAUGUUAAUAGCUUACAUGACGAGACAUUGCGGUCCAGAAUUAUUUUGUAAUUUGACAUGUACUAGUAAGCACACAUUAAGUUUUAGUUAAUUAAUAUUGUUGUUUUUUACCUUCAUUGAUCAUAUAAUAUUUCAUAUUAGUGG